rnacentral:rRNA from 1 species
AGUGAACGCUGGCGGUAGGCCUAACACAUGCAAGUCGAACGGCAGCACAGUAAGAGCUUGCUCUUACAGGUGGCGAGUGGCGGACGGGUGAGGAAUACAUCGGAAUCUACUUUUUCGUGGGGGAUAACGUAGGGAAACUUACGCUAAUACCGCAUACGACCUACGGGUGAAAGCAGGGGAUCUUCGGACCUUGCGCGAUUGAAUGAGCCGAUGUCGGAUUAGCUAGUUGGCGGGGUAAAGGCCCACCAAGGCGACGAUCCGUAGCUGGUCUGAGAGGAUGAUCAGCCACACUGGAACUGAGACACGGUCCAGACUCCUACGGAAGGCAGCAGUGGGGAAUAUUGGACAAUGGGCGCAAGCCUGAUCCAGCCAUACCGCGUGGGUGAAGAAGGCCUUCGGGUUGUAAAGCCCUUUUGUUGGGAAAGAAAAGCAGCAGGUUAAUACCCCGCUGUUCUGACGGUACCCAAAGAAUAAGCACCGGCUAACUUCGUG